rnacentral:rRNA from 1 species
AGAAUCAACGCUGGCGGCGUGCCUAACACAUGCAAGUCGAACGAGAAAGUGGAGCAAUCCAUGAGUACAGUGGCGUACGGGUGAGUAACACGUGACUAACCUACCCUCGAGUGGGGAAUAACCUCGGGAAACCGGGGCUAAUACCGCAUAAUAUCUUCGGAUCAAAUGCGCAAGCAGCUUGAGGAGGGGGUCGCGGCCGAUUAGCUAGUUGGCGGGGUAAUGGCCCACCAAGGCAGUGAUCGGUAGCCGGCCUGAGAGGGCGCACGGCCACACUGGAACUGAAACACGGUCCAGACUCCUACGGGAGGCAGCAGUGGGGAAUUUGCGCAAUGGGGGAAACCCUGACGCAGCAACGCCGCGUGGAGGAUGAAGCCCCUUGGGGUGUAAACUCCUUUCGAUCGGGACGAUUAUGACGGUACCGGAAGAAGAAGCACCGGCUAACUCUGUGCCAGCAGCCGC